rnacentral:rRNA from 1 species
UACGAAGGGGGCUAGCGUUGCUCGGAAUCACUGGGCGUAAAGGGUGCGUAGGCGGGUCUUUAAGUCAGGGGUGAAAUCCUGGAGCUCAACUCCAGAACUGCCUUUGAUACUGAAGAUCUUGAGUUCGGGAGAGGUGAGUGGAACUGCGAGUGUAGAGGUGAAAUUCGUAGAUAUUCGCAAGAACACCAGUGGCGAAAGCGGCUUCCUGGCCCGACACUGACGCUCAUGUACGAAAGCGUGGGGAGCAAACAGG